GGACUACCGGGGUUUCUAAUCCUGUUUGCUCCCCACGCUUUCGUGCAUGAGUGUCAGUAUCAGCCCAGGGGGUUGCCUUCGCCAUCGGUGUUCCUCCACAUCUCUACGCAUUUCACUGCUACACGUGGAAUUCCACCCCCCUCUGCCGUACUCUAGCGAGCCAGUCACCAAUGCAGUUCCCAGGUUGAGCCCGGGGAUUUCACAUCGGUCUUAACAAGCCACCUGCGCACGCUUUACGCCCAGUAAUUCCGAUUAACGCUUGGACCCUACGUAUUACCGCGGCUGCUGGCAC
rnacentral:rRNA from 1 species